CCUACGGGUGGCUGCAGUAGGGAAUAUUGGACAAUGGGCGCAAGCCUGAUCCAGCCAUCCCGCGUGCAGGAUUAAGGCCCUCUGGGUUGUAAACUUCUUUUCUUUGGGAAUAAAAACUCCGAUUCAUCGGAGCUUGCAGGUACCAGAGGAAUAAGCACCGGCUAACUCCGUGCCAGCAGCCGCGGUAAUACGGAGGGUGCAAGCGUUAUCCGGAUUCACGGGUUUUAAGGUGUGUUUGGAAGUCAUUGUUGAAAGCCCGGAGCUCAACUCCGGAACUGCCAUUGAUACUGCUUAGCUUGAAUCAGGUCGAGGUGGAUGGAAUAUUACAUGUAGCGGUGAAAUGCUUAGAUAUGUAAUAGAACACCGAUUGCGAAGGCAGUUCACUAGGCCUGUAUUGACACUGAGGCACGAAAGCGUGGGGAUCAAACAGGAUUAGAUACCCUUGUAGUC
rnacentral:rRNA from 1 species